AUGUUUCCCCAUGUUGAUGUCCUUCCUCAGAUUGACAUCGGCAAAUUGAAGGAUAGUGUCGAUCAUCAGGAAUUUGUUGUUGAGAUUUGUUUUUGUUCUCCUGUACACACCCACCCGAUGAAGCUCAUCUUGAUACUUUUUCCUCGUAGAACUUGUGAGGCUUGUUUUUCCCCUACUCUGUCAAGCCAGAGUUGUGAUUCUAUUAUGGCCUUCCUUAGUGCUAGCUUCUUCGGGACAACGAUCUAUACAUACCAUGGUUGUCGACGUCUUUUGGUCUACAUCGGUGACAUUUCGACUGUUGCUUCUACAACCUCAUGUGUUUCAACAAGGUUGCUCUAG
rnacentral:rRNA from 1 species